ACUCCUUCUCCUCCUCUCCCCCUACUCGUGCUCCUGAGAUAUUUUAAUUUCUUCUUUUUACUAUCUCACGAUUUAAUCUCUCUGUAUACGUGAAUCAUAAUUUUAUCAGGUUCUUCUUCCUCUUCUGCUUCAACUAGAUCCAUCAACAACAUCAAUUCUUGAACAUAUAUUCUGAAUCGAUGAAGAAGAUUCGAUGAAGAUCAUCAACAACAUAAAACGAAGAUUCAUCAACAAAAAAUGAAUCGAAAUAUGGCUAUAAUCUCUCCUUGUUGUUUUAUUAGUUUAAUAGAUUAACUUCUCCGUCUUAAAUUGAAAUUUCAGAAAAAUAAUAUUUUCUAUGUUGGUAACCUAACUGCUUUUGUUUCAUCUUGUCUCUCUUUUCUCAUUUAUGAUAAGAGUUGAUAUCUACAUUAAUCUCAUUUUGAUCUUCUUUUGAGAUAAAAUUUCCGAAAAUUUACCAAAAAUAAUUCUAGGGUUCAUGAUUGAGUUUUUUUUAUUUUAGAGUUUGCAUCCAUUGAAACUUGAUUUUUGGCUUGUUAAUUUUGUGUGUUUUUUGUCCUCAGCUGAAUGGGAUUUUUGCUUGGUUGGAUACUGGUGCUUGAGUUGUAUGAUGGAUUUGUUGCAGAGACCCAUCAAGUUAAAUUAGAGAUUUGUUGACUGUGGGGAAGUGCUUGUGCUCUUGAACUAUUAGCUGUUAAGAUAAGUCGAAUAUCGUGCUCAGGGGUGUGUUGUAUCUGACAGACACGGGUCUCAUAGCAAAGGAAAAUUUUAUUGCAUUAUUGCAAAAAUAGUUGAAUCUGAAUGCUAUUUUGGAUUCCAAGGGUUACUUACUUGAUGAAGAUGGAUUCAAUUAUAUGAAAGUGGCACUUGUGAGAGAUUAUCAAGACUUAUACUCAUCAAAGUACUACGAGGAUAUGCAACACAUUGGAAUGCAAGCUGUGAUCUUGCAUUCCCCUGCACAUGUGAUGUUAUAAAUUUUGUCAGCUCAGGUCGUCGUAUAUUGGUAGAAGUCUCAGCUAUGACUUGUACUCAAGCAGUUGAUGUACUGAGGAAAGCUAAUGUUCUUAUUGCUCCAACAAAAGCUGCUUGUACUGGAUGGGGAUGUUGUAUAUGGUUAGAAAUUCAAUGCAUUGCCUGGAAAGCUGACAACAUAGGAGACUUCGGCAGCCACUGUUAUGUUUGAUGAGAUAGUAUUAAACCGAUAUGGACAUGUAUUAUGUAUGUGAAUGUGUCAAAUCAAUAUUUGAGUAUGCUAAAUUUAUACAAAAAUUUUCUUUUGAAUUACUGGUUGCCAUAUAUACAUAGUCGUGAAUUGAGGUGCUAAAUCUGUGGGUUUUUUUUCUUCUACAUGGAUUACAAUGCCGAGAUCUGGAGGUCUAUUAGUGCACAGACCUGAGCAAGUUGAUUCAUUGUAGCAUUCUCUACGAAUAGAAAUACAAUUGUAAAACAGAAGAUGCCGAAAAAUGGCAACUUGUCUUGCUGAUAAAGCAAUUGUGUGUGAAUGGAGAUCAUCUGUUGAGUACUGCAAAUUCUCCUCAGUGUCUGUAGUCAGGAAUGAGCCUUUUUUAUAUCUGUCGAAGCAAAUUCUUCGAGGGAUUUGAGUUUUUCUGUCAUAUGUACAAAAAUUAUUUAUUGAGUAAACCCCCGUAAAUUAAAGUUGAUACCAGGGUUGUUAAGAACACUGAGAGUCUGAGACUAAGAUUCAACU